rnacentral:rRNA from 1 species
GAUGAACGCUGACAGAAUGCUUAACACAUGCAAGUCUACUUGAUCCUUCGAGUGAUGGUGGCGGACGGGUGAGUAACGCGUAAAGAACUUGCCCUGCGGUCUGGGACAACAUUUGGAAACGAAUGCUAAUACCGGAUAUUAUGUGAGUUUCGCAUGAAAUUCAUAUGAAAGCUAUAUGCGCUGCAGGAGAGCUUUGCGUCCUAUUAGCUAGUUGGUGAGGUAACGGCUCACCAAGGCGAUGAUAGGUAGCCGGCCUGAGAGGGUGAACGGCCACAAGGGGACUGAGACACGGCCCUUACUCCUACGGGAGGCAGCAGUGGGGAAUAUUGGACAAUGGACCAAAAGUCUGAUCCAGCAAUUCUGUGUGCACGAUGAAGUUUUUCGGAAUGUAAAGUGCUUUCAGUUGGGACGAAGUAAGUGACGGUACCAACAGAAGAAGCGACGGCUAAAUACGUGCCAGCAGCCGCGGUAAUACGUAUGUCGCAAGCGUUAUCCGGAUUUAUUGGGCGUAAAGCGCGUCUAGGCGGUUUGGUAAGUCUGAUGUGAAAAUGCGGGGCUCAACUCCGUAUUGCGUUGGAAACUGCCAAACUAGAGUACUGGAGAGGUGGGCGGAACUACAAGUGUAGAGGUGAAAUUCGUAGAUAUUUGUAGGAAUGCCGAUGGGGAAGCCAGCCCACUGGACAGAUACUGACGCUAAAGCGCGAAAGGGUGGGUAGCAAACAGG